rnacentral:tRNA from 1 species
GGCGCGAUGGCCGAGCAGUUAGGCAGAGGUCUGCAAAACCUCGUAGACCGGUGCGACUCCGGUUCGCGCCU